GAUGAACGCUGGCGGCGUGCCUAACACAUGCAAGUCGAGCGAUUCUCUUCGGAGAAGAGCGGCGGACGGGUGAGUAACGCGUGGGUAACCUGCCCUGUACACACGGAUAACAUACCGAAAGGUAUGCUAAUACGGGAUAAUAUAUAAGAGUCGCAUGACUUUUAUAUCAAAGAUUUUUCGGUACAGGAUGGACCCGCGUCUGAUUAGCUUGUUGGCGGGGUAMCGGCCCACCAAGGCGACGAUCAGUAGCCGACCUGAGAGGGUGAUCGGCCACAUUGGAACUGAGACACGGUCCAAACUCCUACGGGAGGCAGCAGUGGGGAAUAUUGCACAAUGGGCGCAAGCCUGAUGCAGCAACGCCGCGUGAGCGAUGAAGGCCUUCGGGUSGUAAAKCUYUGUCCUCAAGGAAGAUAAUGACGGUACUGAGAGAGCCCCGRWUMMMGUCU
rnacentral:rRNA from 1 species